CAGUCAAAUUAUCUACUAGGCGGUUUUGGCCAAUUUUCCCCUCAGGAUAGCUGGGGAU
rnacentral:rRNA from 1 species